AUCCAGCUGAUGAGUCCCAAAUAGGACGAAACACUCACUGAAUUGGAU
rnacentral:hammerhead_ribozyme from 1 species